rfam:Vibrio cholerae O1 biovar eltor str. N16961 chromosome I, complete sequence.
CCAAUCUCGGACUGAGCUUCUGGGGGACACGCGUGGUGACCAUUCAGGCUGAUUGUGACACCACGUAGGGUAGGUAUCGACAAGUCCUUUUGUCGAUAGACGGGAUACUCUUGCUGCGGAGCGGCAUGUGAAUGGGAAACCCAACA